rnacentral:lncRNA from 7 species
GUAAUUUCUCUCAUUUCUGGAAAACAGAUAAAGUAGGAAUACUGAAGGGAUUUGUUUCUACCUGAGUGAACGGAAACAUUUGUUUUCUGCUUUAUCUUGCAUUUCAGAAAGAUAUGAGAAUGCAGAAGGGCUGUAAGAAGAUGGAUCUUGAAUAGCGGGAAGGACAAGUUUUGUUCUAUAUGGAAUUCUCUGCUGAAAGAUUGCUGUAUGCAUAUCACUGACUGUCAACACUAUGCUGCAGUCUCAGUAUCUUCUGAGUGGAUACCAUGGUCUUAAGAUACCAGAGAUCUACAUGAUAUAAAUUGCUGAGAAGUAUCCUUGAAGAAAAUCUUGGGUUUAGACUGGAAGUUUUUGCAAAAUCACCUUUUCAGCUUCCUCUCUUAUUCUCUAACUGUAUGUAUGGAGACUGCUUCUUACCAGCCUACUCUGAAGAUCACAGGUUGUUGUGAGGAGCGAGAUACACAUCUUGUUAAUAUAAAAUAACACCUGCUUCCAAACUGUUAAAGGAGAUGGUCAGUGUGGGCAGCAUUACCACAGGAAUUUGUGAUUCAGCAUUGCCCAUCAUAAACUUAUUUUGCAUUGAGUAAUUCAGGUGUGAAAACCAUAUGCUAUCCAGACACCCAGCAACUCGCCAGAACCUGUUAGCCUGGUGAAGCACUUGUAUGCCCGGGGCAAUUGCCUGGAGAUGUGUGAAGGUGUAGACGACAGUGUCAGCCAGAGCAUCUGCUUUUCAUGUUGCUGUGAGAAGGUAUUGCUGGCUUACUGACAUCCCAGGAAGGACCACGUUCUUUUUGAUUUAUUUUAAUUCAAUGUCUGAUAUGGCAUAUCCUCUAUGAUUCAUAAGUUUUUAAUGCUGCUACCAAGCUUGUUCUGUCUCUUCAAGCACUUCAAACAGGUGUUAAAACAAUCAAUUUUUAAUAAAAGUAAACAUUUUUGUUUUG